rnacentral:ncRNA from 1 species
UGGAACCUUCGGGGUCCUCUAACAUAGUGAGGCGAUGCCUCGCACUGAAAACGAAAGACAGUAA